rnacentral:rRNA from 1 species
AUUGAACGCUGGCGGCAGGCCUAACACAUGCAAGUCGAACGAGUGGCGGACGGGUGAGUAAUGUCUGGGAAACUGCCCGAUGGAGGGGGAUAACUACUGGAAACGGUAGCUAAUACCGCAUACCAUCGGAUGUGCCCAGAUGGGAGUAGCUUGUAGGUGAGGUAACGGCUCACCUAGGCGACGAUCCCUAGCUGGUCUGGGAGGAUGACCAGCCACACGGGAACUGAGACACGUUCCAAACUCCUACGAGAGGCAGCAGUGGGGAAUAUUGCACAAUGGGCGCAAGCCUGAUAUAGCCAUGCCGCGUGUAUGAAGAAUGCCUUCGGGUUGUAAAGUACGUUCAGCGGGGAGGCGUUACCCGCAGAAGAAGCACCGGCUAACUCCGUGCCAGCAGCCGCGGUAAUUC